CUUUAAAUUAUGAUGAUCAUGGCUAUUCUUUGCUGAAUGAGUUUGAUAUCUCGGUAGGAACAAAACAACUUCCUUCCCUUGAUCGCCUAUCGAAGUUCUAAGGAAGACGACUACCGAAGUCAACGGUAUUUCCUCAAACCGUUUAUCAAGUAAUAUUUAUACAGUUUUUGUCUAAUUAUCCCAUGAUCUUUAACUUCAAAAGUUAGGCACGGAUUCUCCAUGACAUGUGUGAUGGAAUGAGUAGAUACACGUAGAAAGUAGUGUUUCAUCGUUUUGCUUGAGAGAUGGCUAGCAUCUUGCCAUAAGGUAAGCUAAUCUUCCAAAGGUAAAAUAUUGGAGAUAACAUAGAUCUGAUAAUAUUCAUAGAUCUGAUUAUAUUAUUGUGCAUAUGAUGCUAUUAUUUAUGGUUAAUAUGAUUUCCCACAGAUAGUACAUUUUAAUAUCUCGCUUCUAUAAUUUGUAGGAGUAGUUGGUGCUCAUUUUUACUGUACGUAGGUCCUCCUUGUCUAAAUAUACGACAUAUAUGGAAUCUGUAGAUAGAUCCAAAUGUAUAUAUAGAUAGGCAUAGUUAUUUGGAUAAAAAGAAAAGAACAUGAUGAGAUGAGAAAGUAAUAGUUUUGCAUUACUAUGUAGGGCAUACUUGUUUCGAAUUUUUUUAAGUAAUCGGCCGAAGGUAAUCAUGAAUAUACUAUUGUGAGGUCAAGAAAGUAUAUCAACUAUAGCAUCACUAAAGUCUACAUGCUUACAUCCAGAUCGGUGUCGGAAACUCCUAUAGACGAAUUUAAAUUAUUUUUAAAGUGAAGUACCAUCCGACUAAUGUGGGCAUAGAAACCUAAAUGUAGUUGGAGACGUAGUCUUCUGUAUGAUGUUUCCUUCUAUGUGGUUUCAUUUUUCACUUCUACAUGUUUUUUUUAAAAUAUUAGUUUACUGCUGCCUUUAACUCUAUAUAGGGGAAUAAACAUUUUGUUUCAUGACAACAGAUCACCAUGGACGGGGAGUGGCCGCAAUACAACAGUGUUGUGCUCAAUGAUCUUGACCCCUUCAUAACAAGUGAACACAGCCACCUAUUGCAGCACGACCACGGUGAUGAGAC
rnacentral:lncRNA from 1 species